AUGUCAUGAUGAGCUUCCCACUUCAUGGUCCGUGUUUUUGAUCUUUGUGAUAUUUAACGAAGUUCUGAGCUG
ensembl:snoRNA SNORD18 Small nucleolar RNA SNORD18